GAUGAACGCUGGCGGCGUGCCUAAUACAUGCAAGUCGAGCGAACGGACGAGAAGCUUGCUUCUCUGAUGUAGCGGCGGACGGGGGAGGAAAACGUGGAUAAACUACCUAUAAGACUGGGAUUACUUCGGGAAACCGGAACUAAUACCGGAUGAAAUUUUGAACCGCAUGGGUCAAAAGUGAAAGAAGGGCUUGCUGGUACUUAUAGAUGGAACCGCGCUGCAUUAGCUAGUUGGUAAGGUAACGGCUUACCAAGGCAACGAUGCAUAGCCGACCUGAGAGGGUGAUCGGCCACACUGGAACUGAGACACGGUCCAGACUCCUACGGGAGGCAGCAGUAGGGAAUCUCCCGCAAUGGGCGAAAGCCUGACGGAGCAACGCCGCGUGAGUGAUGAAGGUCUUCGGAUCGUAAAACUCUGUUAUUAGGGAAGAACAUAUGUGUAAGUAACUGUGCACAUCUUGACGGUACCUAAUCAGAAAGCCACGGCUAACUACGUG
rnacentral:rRNA from 1 species